rnacentral:rRNA from 1 species
AGAGUUUGAUCAUGGCUCAGGACGAACGCUGGCGGCGUGCUUAACACAUGCAAGUCGAACGGAGGAUACAUUGAAACCUAGUGAUAUGUAACCUUAGUGGCGGACGGGUGAGUAACGCGUGGAUAACCUGCCUAUCUGACCGGGACAACACCUGGAAACGGGUGCUAAUACCGGAUACGCUCAUCUAGUCAAAAGAAUAGAUGAGGAAAAGGGGAAACCCGCAGACAGAUGGGUCCGCGUCCCAUUAGCUAGUUGGAGGUGUAAGAGACCCCCAAGGCGACGAUGGGUAGCCGGCCUGAGAGGGUGACCGGCCACACUGGAACUGAGACACGGUCCAGACUCCUACGGGAGGCAGCAGUGGGGAAUCUUCCGCAAUGGGCGCAAGCCUGACGGAGCAACGCCGCGUGAGUGAAGAAGGCCUUCGGGUUGUAAAACUCUGUCAUCAGGGAAGAAGAAAGUGACGGUACCUGAGGAGGAAGCCCCGGCUAACUACGUGCCAGCAGCCGCGGUAAAACGUAGGGGGCGAGCGUUGUCCGGAAUUACUGGGCGUAAAGGGCGCGUAGGCGGUUAUCCAAGUCAGGGGUGAAAACCUUGGGCUCAACUCAGGGCCUGCCUCUGAAACUGGGUAACUUGAGGGCAGGAGAGGGGAGUGGAAUUCCCAGUGUAGCGGUGAAAUGCGUAGAUAUUGGGAGGAACACCAGUGGCGAAAGCGGCUCUCUGGCCUAACCCUGACGCUGAGGCGCGAAAGCGUGGGGAUCAAACAGGAUUAGAUACCCU